rnacentral:lncRNA from 1 species
GGGAUGCCCAGUGGGAAUGGAGUGGGAACAGGGGUCAAGCAAGCACCCAGGCCAUCAGGUGCUGGUAGAAAUGUAUCAGCGGACUCUACCCACCCCACUAAAAAGCCAGGGACUCGCCGCCCACCCUUGCCACCCAGACCUACACCCCCACGAAGAAAACCUUUACCACCAAAUAAUGUCACUGGAAAGCCGGGAAGUGCAGGAAUCAUUUCAUCAGGCCCAAUAACUAUACCACCCCUGAGGUCAACACUCAGGCCUACUGGAACUCCCUUGGAGAGAAUAGUGACAGAUAUAAAGCAACCAACAGUUCCUGCCUCUGGAGAAGAACUGGAAAAUAUAACUGACUUUAGCUCAAGCCCAACAAGAGAAACUGAUCCUCUUGGGAAGCCAAGAUUCAAAGGACCUCAUGUGCGAUACAUCCAAAAGCCUGACAACAGUCCCUGCUCCAUUACUGACUCUGUCAAACGGUUCCCCAAAGAGGAGGCCACAGAGGGGAAUGCCACCAGCCCACCACAGAACCCACCCACCAACCUCACUGUGGUCACCGUGGAAGGGUGCCCCUCAUUUGUCAUCUUGGACUGGGA